rnacentral:rRNA from 1 species
GAUGAACGCUAGCUACAGGCUUAACACAUGCAAGUCGAGGGGUAACGAGAGGAAAGCUUGCUUUCCUUGUCGACGACCGGCGCACGGGUGAGUAACGCGUAUCCAACCUGCCCCCAACUAGGGAAUAACCUUGCGAAAGUAAGACUAAUACCCUAUAAUUUCCUCAGAUGUCAUCUGACGAGGAAUAAAGAUUUAUCGGUUGUGGAUGGGGAUGCGUCUGAUUAGCUUGUUGGCGGGGUAACGGCCCACCAAGGCAACGAUCAGUAGGGGUUCUGAGAGGAAGGUCCCCCACAUUGGAACUGAGGCACGGUCCAAACUCCUACGGGAGGCAGCAGUGAGGAAUAUUGGUCAAUGGGCGGAAGCCUGAACCAGCCAAGUAGCGCGCAGGAUGACGGCCCUAUGGGUUGUAAACUGCUUUUGUACAGGAAUAAAGUUAGCCACGUGUGGUUAUUUGUAGGUACUGUAUGAAUAAGGACCGGCUAAUUCCGUGCCAGCAGCCGCGGUAA